rnacentral:rRNA from 1 species
UACGUAGGGUCCGAGCGUUGUCCGGAAUUACUGGGCGUAAAGAGCUCGUAGGUGGUUUGUCGCGUUGUUCGUGAAAACUCACAGCUCAACUGUGGGCGUGCGGGCGAUACGGGCAGACUAGAGUACUGCAGGGGAGACUGGAAUUCCUGGUGUAGCGGUGGAAUGCGCAGAUAUCAGGAGGAACACCGGUGGCGAAGGCGGGUCUCUGGGCGAGUAACUGACGCUGGAGGAGCGGAAAGCGUGGGGAGCGAACAG